AGUGAACGCUGGCGGCAGGCCUAACACAUGCAAGUCGAACGGCAGCGCAGCAGUAGCAAUACUGUGGGCGGCGAGUGGCGGACGGGUGAGGAAUACAUCGGAAUCUACCUUGUCGUGGGGGAUAACGUAGGGAAACUUACGCUAAUACCGCAUACGACCCACGGGUGAAAGCGGCGGACCGCAAGGCGUCGCGCGAUUGGAUGAGCCGAUGUCCGAUUAGCUAGUUGGCGGGGUAAAGGCCCACCAAGGCGACGAUCGGUAGCUGGUCUGAGAGGAUGAUCAGCCACGCUGGACCGGCGACACGGGCCAGACUCCUACGGGAGGCAGCAGUAAGGAAUAUUGCGCAAUGGGCGAAAGCCUGACGCAGCGACACCGCGUGGGGGAUGAAGGUCUUCGGAUUGUAAACCCCUUUCGGGAGGGAAGAUGGGAUGGGGUAACCCAUUCGGACGGUACCUCCAGAAGCAGCCACGGCUAACUUCGUGCCAGCCGCCGCCGUAAAAC
rnacentral:rRNA from 1 species